ACCACCCCCCUAAACUGGACGAGUGCAUUCCAACAUCGCGUCCUAUUCUAAACUGUUACAACGGAGUUGUACAGAUUUACCAAGUGAGCGCGCGAUUUUUAGCUUUUUAUGAUCUCGGUUAUUUAAUUGACCUCAAUUAUCACCAUGUCGGUGGCGUUCGCACCUCACAGACAGCGUGGGAAGGGUGAUAUUACUCCCGCCGGAAUACAAAAGCUACUUGAUGAAAAUAAUCACUUGAUUCAGAGCAUUAUGGACUUCCAGAGCAAGGGCAAAACAACAGAAUGUUCACAGUAUCAACAAAUACUGCACAGAAAUUUAGUGUACCUGGCCACAAUAGCAGACUCAAAUCAGAACAUGCAGUCUCUCCUCCCAGCACCACCCACUCAAAACAUGUCAAUGGGUCCUGGUGGGAUGAACCAAAGCGGAGGUCCACCUCAGCCAAGUCACGGUCAUAACAUGCCCUCGGAGGGUAUGGUUGGCUGCGGUCCCCCGGCCCCUCACAUGCAGAACCAGAUGAAUGGACAGAUGCCUGGGCCCAAUCACAUGCCUAUGCAGGGCCCCGGUCCAGGUCCUAACCAGCCCCCUAACAUGCCUGCCGGCUCUAUGAACAUGCCUCCAAGCAGCCACGGCUCGAUGGGCGGCUACAACCAUGCUGUCCCUUCGUCGCAGGGAAUGCCGGCACAAAGCCAGAUGAACAUGACGCAGGGUCAGCCCAUGGGCAACUACGGACCGCGACCCAAUAUGAACAUGCAGCCCAGUCAAGGCCCCAUGAUGCACCAGCAGCCUCCCUCCCAGCAGUAUAACAUGCCUCCAGGCAGUGGUGGGCAGCACUACCAAGGCCAGCAGAACCCAAUGGGCAUGAUGGGCCAGGUUAACCAGGGCAAUCAUGUCAUGGGGCAGAGGCCGAUGCCCCCGUAUAGACCGCCUCAGCAAGGACCCCCUCAGCAGUACCCAGGGCAGGAAGACUACUAUGGGGACCAGUACAGUCACGCAGGACAGGGAGCCUCAGAAGGUAAUGCCCAGUACGGCCAACAGCAAGAGGCCUAUCAGCAAGGUCCCCCACAGCAACAGGGGUACCCCCCUCAGCAGCAGUACCCGGGUCAACAGGGCUACCCACCGCAACAGCAGGGCUAUGGUCCUUCCCAGAAUGCCCCUGGACAGUACCCCAACUAUCCCCAGGGGCAGGGACAGCAGUACGGUGGCUAUCGCCCCCCUCAGCCAGGUCCCCCGCAGGGCCAGCAGCAGCGCCCUUACGGCUAUGACCAGGUGAGUAUGGGCCCAGCAAUGUGAGCAGCUAGAUUUUAUAUAGUUAAUACAGCUAUAGUUUGUCCCUCAUUUUUGACUUGCUGUGUAUUUUUUGCAUGCUCUGAACGUAUUUGGGCUUACUUGAUGUAUGUCGCUAUUGCCAUUCCCGUUUUAAUCUCGGUUGUGUAUUGUGGUUAAUGUAGCAUGCCCUCUUCAGGGAAAAUAUGAGGGCUUCUUCUUUAAGUUUGCUGCAGACUGCCGUGGUUCUUCUUGCCCUGUAAUAUCCUGUGGUCUCAUGAUGGGGACCAGAGCUACACUUUGAUAUCUUUAUCUUUGAAUAUUCAGGGGCACAUGAGGAAAUAAAGGCCCGGGGAUUUGAACCCCCUGACUAGCUCUAUAAGAAGCAAAGGGCCAGUAUGGAAAUUACCAGCAAUGAAAAACACCCACACAGAUGAUAUGAGAGUCACAGCAGCACAAACAAACAAACAAAACAUUCUCCUCCACUUUUUUGGGCUUGUAACCAUAAACAUGUCAUUUCAAGUGACCCCCCCCCCCCCUGCCCCCUUGAGGUCCAGUACGUCUCAAAGCGGCAGUGCCUUAAAGUGGGAGCUGCCUUAUCCUUUAGCAUUCAGUCGACUGUAUGACAUCAUUUUGGUUUUUUUUUUUGGCAGACUGUUCAAAAGUGGUUCUACUGUGGUUCAUGCUUCAGCUCCCUGUUAAUAAUAAGAAGCAGUAAUAGCAGUAGCGGAUAAAAUGUAUGUGUAAAGAGAGGAGGGGCACGGUGUAGAGUUUAGAUAGCAAACUUCCUGCUAUACUUGCCCAUACAGGUACAUGUCUCGAUGUAUGUGAUGUAAAAAAUUCUAUUUUUUUUUUUUUUUUUUUUUUUUUAAGAAACAGAUGACUUUGUAUAAGAAAUUGAAAGCUAGUACUAAGAUGUGUAAGUGUCAGUGUUUUUUUUUUUUUUUUUUUUGUCAUUCGGGAUGUUGUUGUGAUGAACUGAACUGUUCAGUCACAAUUGCGUUCCUCAAAUUGUAAUUUCUAGAAGGACAGCAAACUUACCACUAGAACGUGUUAAUUUGUAAAACACUUUUACUGUACUAAAUGAACUGUGCCAACUUUAGGGGUGAAAAAGAAAAGGAA